ACGCGAAGAACCUUACCAAGUCUUGACAUCCCGGUGACAAAGUAUGUAAUGUACUCUUUCUUCGGAACACCGGUGACAGGUGGUGCAUGGUUGUCGUCAGCUCGUGUCGUGAGAUGUUGGGUUAAGUCCCGCAACGAGCGCAACCCCUGUCCUUAGUAGCCAGCGGUUCGGCCGGGCACUCUAGGGAGACUGCCAGGGAUAACCUGGAGGAAGGCGGGGAUGACGUCAAAUCAUCAUGCCCCUUAUGACUUGGGCUACACACGUGCUACAAUGGCGUAAACAAAGGGAAGCGAAAAGGUGACUUCUAGCAAAUCCCAAAAAUAACGUCCCAGUUCGGACUGUAGUCUGCAACUCGACUACACGAAGCUGGAAUCGCUAGUAAUCGCGAAUCAGAAUGUCGCGGUGAAUACGUUCCCGGGUCUUGUACACACC
rnacentral:rRNA from 1 species